UACGAAGGGGGGCUAGCGUUGUUCGGAAUUACUGGGCGUAAAGCGCGCGCAGGCGGUUCUUCAAGUCAGUGGUGAAAGCCCGGAGCUCAACUCCGGAAUUGCCAUUGAAACUGUAGAACUUGAGGAUGAGAGAGGUGAGUGGAAUUCCCAGUGUAGAGGUGAAAUUCGUAGAUAUUGGGAAGAACACCAGUGGCGAAGGCGGCUCACUGGCCCGUAACUGACGCUGAGGUGCGAAAGCGUGGGGAGCAAACAGGG
rnacentral:rRNA from 1 species